rnacentral:tRNA from 2 species
AUAUUCUUAGUUCAGUGGGAGAACGGCGGGCUCCAAAACCGAAGACAAAGGUUCGAAUCCUUUAGAGUGUG